rnacentral:rRNA from 1 species
CGUGAAAUUGUUGAAAGGGAAGCGUUCAUGACCAGACUUGGGCACGUUGAUCAUCCGUGGUUCUCCGCGGUGCACUCUGCCUGCCCAGGCCAGCAUCAGUUCGCCCCGGGGGAUAAAGGCUUUGGGAAUGUGGCUCCCUCGGGAGUGUUAUAGCCCACUGCGUAAUACCCUGGGGUGGACUGAGGUUCGCGCUCUGCAAGGAUGCUGGCGUAAUGGUCAUCAACGACCCGUCUUGAAACACGG